GACGAACGCUGGCGGCGUGCUUAACACAUGCAAGUCGAACGGAAAGGCCCUGCUUGCAGGGUACUCGAGUGGCGAACGGGUGAGUAACACGUGGGUGAUCUGCCCUGCACUUCGGGAUAAGCUUGGGAAACUGGGUCUAAUACCGGAUAGGAGCCAUCUUUAGUGUGGUGGUUGGAAAGUUUUUUCGGUGUAGGAUGAGCUCGCGGCCUAUCAGCUUGUUGGUGGGGUAAUGGCCUACCAAGGCGGCGACGGGUAGCCGGCCGGAGAGGGUGUACGGCCACAUUGGGACUGAGAUACGGCCCAGACUCCUACGGGAGGCAGCAAUGGGGAAUAUUGCACAAUGGGCGCAAGCCUGAUGCAGCGACGCCGCGUGGGGGAUGAAGGCCUUCGGGUUGUAAACUCCUUUCGCUAGGGACGAAGCUUUGUUGUGACGGUACCUAGAUAAGAAGCACCGGCUAACUACGUG
rnacentral:rRNA from 1 species